rnacentral:lncRNA from 1 species
CCCAAAUAAAAGCCUAAAGUGUCAAUUAGAAAGAUCAGUCUUUUAACUAAUGAGCCAUGUGCAAAACAAAAACCUGAUAAAAAUCCGAAUCUAAACUAUUUAACGUCUCAACGGCCAAUAAAUGAUAUAACCUUAACCACCCACAUCAAGUACAGUGCUAUCACUAAAAAAUUGCUUUACCUAAAAACCCCUAAGAAAAGAACAAAGUUCCAAUUAAAAAGAUCUUCAAUUGGUGAUGCUUUGAGUUCAACAGGAAUGUCAUAGGAAGGGCUUGGCCAACCCAUGACAUCAUCAGGUAACUAUCUCGCUCUGCUAGCCAUUAUUCAUUUGGUUCUAUUUUGGGUUCAGCAGGAAUGUCACAGGAAGGGCUUGGCCAACAUGUGAGUUCAUCAGGUCGUCUCUCACACCCCGCUAAAUCAGUGAAAGACUCCUUCAGUAUAGGCAAGCGAUGAGACGAGUUUCUCUUCAUAUAAUUUCAUAAUUUUAACAAUAAAUUCUACGAAGAAAUCCAAUCUAACAUAGACAAAAACACCAAAUAAUAAAACUAAAUAUAAAUCACAUUGUUUGAUAAUGGGCAAAUCCUACAUACAGUGGAAGCCAAAUCUUAAUAAACAACAUUCAAUCAAUCUGAACCAUCAUCUCCUGGAAAAUACGAAUAAACAGUUACUCGAAAAACCAAAUAGAGCCAAGAAAUAUAGUACUGACUCGCGUCCAUGGGAAUCUUCUGAGCUGGUUGAUGAAUAUGGAAAUUUUCCUUCCACCGGAAUUGCGCAAAGCCCACAUGAGAACUGUCACGCUCUUCUUCACAUCUUUUCGUAAAUGGGUGGAUAUGGAAUUCGUGCUCCAGCUCCUCAGUUUCACUCAUCGCGAGGCCGUUUUCCGAUAUUAACGUGAAGUAUCAAUCUAUGGUACCUUUUUCAGUUAAUGAGCGAUGGAAAUUCAAACAAAAACAUCAAAUUGAUCAAAAGGGUUUAUACAUUCAGCGCGGAAAGUCUCCCUUGAUAAAUAUACAGAUAUCAAAUAGGAGGCAGAUAUAGAAAUUGAAAUUAAUAACGAUUACAAGAAGGAAAUAUUACCAUAGUCUGGGAUCUGUGGAUGUGACCGAGUAUUCAUAGACUCAUAAUUCAAAUUCAGGCCUGAGCUGGAGCUCCGCGAGGGCGCACCCUUCUGCCCUUGACUCUCUC